rnacentral:rRNA from 1 species
UACAGAGGUCCCAAGCGUUACUGAGAAUCACUGGGUUUAAAGGGUGCGUAGGUGGUCCGUUAAGUCAGUUGUGAAAUCCCCGGGCUCAACCCGGGAAAUGCUUCUGAUACUGGCGGACUUGAGGCCAGUAGGGGUCACUAGAACUGACGGUGGAGCGGUGAAAUGCGUAGAUAUCGUCAGGAAUGCCGGUGGUGAAGACGGGUGACUGGGCUGGUUCUGACACUGAGGCACGAAAGCGUGGGGAUCAAACAGG